AAACACAUCGAGCUCUCUCUCUUUCUUCUUUCUUUUUCUCUUCUAACCCUCAACCAAACCAAAAUCUGCGAAUCAAAACCCAAGUUUUCGGAAAUCAAAACCAAUCUCUCCAAUUAAACCCUAAUUUCACAAAUCAAUACUUAUCUCUCGGAAACCGACAUCAGAGAACUUCUUUUCGGGAAAAAAUUUAGUUUAUAAACAAAUCGGGUUUUUUUUUUUUUUUUUGGUUGGUUUCGUAUGUUUGAUUUGUAUGAACACCAAACCCAAAGGUUUAAAUUUCCUGUUCUAGAUUUGAAGGGGUUUGUUCACAGAAAAAAAUCCAAAGGUUUAUACUUUUCUACUUUGAUUUGGGUAUUCUUUUUUGAGAUGAUUUUUUUUUUUUUGAGAUAAUUUUUGGGUAUUCUUUGAAAUCGAUUUUAACAGGGGUUUGGUUAAAAGACUUUUCUCUUUCUACUGUAUUGGUUUCCUUCACUGAUUUUUUUUGAUUUAUAUGCUUGAUUGUAGAUUGGGUUUAGCUUAAUUUUCUUAAGCAUGAACAUGGGUAUUUUCCAUUUAUUUAUGCUAAGACUGCAGAUAAUUCAUCACUUGAUUAGUACUUGAUAUAGUGUUGAUUAGAUCGGGAACUUAUUAUUUUCCUAAAUCAAAAGUUCUUCUAUAGGUUUUUAUGUUAGUACUAUGUUAAUUUAACACUUUUUUGCAUUUUUGUAGAAAGACAGAUGGUGAGAUUUGUCAAGAAACUUGCAAAGAUUAAGGAGGAGCAGGGUGAAAUCGCUGAGGCAGCUGAUUUGAUGCAAGAAAUUGUUGUGAGUGUUCUCAGGAAAGUCCAUUCUCGUUUGGAAUCUAGUUGGGUGGAAACUUUUGGAGUGAUGGCAAAAAUAGGAGAAAAAAAAACUAAAAAAGCAUUCAUUAUCAAACAGGUAUUAUUACAAACUAGUACUUAGCCUCGCCAGGAUUGUGGGAGUGUGCAAUUUGUUAACAGAAGUUUUACUAUGGGUUCAUUAUUAUCUGUGUAGUUAAGUUGUUUGUUGAAAUGCGCAUAAGAAAUAACUCACCCUUGAUGUUUAACCUGAUAGUUCACUAUGUGCUGGUGGUGGUAAAAAUGGUGCAACUUCGUUGUAGGAUUUUGCUGAGAGUCAGUGGUUAAUUUCCUGCUACGUUUUUGGGCAAUGCAUGCUGGUCCGAUGUACACACCAAGUCAGAUAUGAGGAUGAAUGAUUUUUCUUAGAGAGCUCUUUAUAGUUCUAAGAAUGCCUAGUUUGAAGGAUACCGCCGAGACGAUCAGUUGAUCGGUACUGUUUUGGAAGCAGACAAGGCAUGGUGAUCGAGAAGCACCAAAUUAGACAAAUGUUGGUUCUACCUCAACUACUGAGCUUCAGCCCAAAUUUGGUGCUUAUACAUAGGAAAUAUCAGAUAGCAACUUGGGAAGGCAGCUACCUCUUUCUAUACAGUUUGCUGGCAACACUAAAUCUCGUGCAACAUGAAUGGUUACGAGCAUAGUAGUGGCUAUUCAAUUCCUAAUUGAAAAGCAGUAGUUAAUUCUGCAACAUCACAAGUUCUUAUUUUAGGAAGCACACAUGCGCGGCAAAAUAGCUGCGGAGACAGAUACAAAAGAUAUCUUCUAUAUGUUGAAGUUUUGUGCUCAAGAGACGAUUUUAUGAAGCUGGUAAUGUUAUGGAUAGAUGGGGUCAUUACAUCAGUGCAGCAAAAGAAUCGAGGUACCGUGUACCAUAUGAUUUUUGUUCAAGUUAAAGGUUAGCGAGUCCUGUAGUGUGCCAAAGUUAGGACCAAGUACUGGGAAGAUAUUUGGAGCAACAACCUUUGUCUUAUGUUUCGUAAAGGAAUUUCAGAGUGUAUAUUCAAACUAAGUUUAUAAUGUUGUAAAAUGCCGCAAGGAUGAGUGAGUGUCUUACAGGUCAGGGUUCCAUACUGUUUGUGAUAAUGAAAUUUUGAAAAUACCAAUACAUUUGUAAAAAUUUUUUUUGAUUCUAAUAUAAUAUUA